UCAAGGUGAAGUGUCACUACCAGUAAUGGGCAGAGUCUGGAUGAUGACCCAGCUCUCCAUCCUUCCAGCCUCAAGCAGAGCUUGUUCCCGCUGCACGAUAUUGCCCAGACAUGAACUGAAGACCGCUGGCCUCAAGAAAGUAGCAUGAUGGGAUUCUGGAAUAAGUCUUCUGAAUAUUGUAUGGCCCAAGCUGGCUGGUGGUGGCAUUCUGUGGCGCUGGUGUAAUGUCCUUCCUGAUUCGGGACAUGAAUCAAUCAACAAGGGUUCUCACCAUCACCAGGAUUGAUGCACUGAGAGUAGCCAAGUUACAGAAUAUGAGAGGGGUGGUGUGACUUAGCGAGAUGAAUGAACAUCAACCAGCAAUGGAAGAAGUGACCCAUGGGACUCUAUCCUCUUUGGGGAGGAUGGUAAGCAUGUUUUCAAUUGCAUGAGGAAUAGUUGCAUCAAGAUAAGCAGGAAAUGGACUUGACUUUGCUACUGCCUUUUGGCGGGGUGUAUUAUUAAAGGACUGUGUAUGGGUGCCAUUUGGAGGAAAGGGGGGACUGUGGUGGUUUUGAACUUUGACAGUUUGGUUAGACUGGAACUAUGUUUCCCCAAACUCCCUUCCUUCAGUGGUUCUAGGUUAGGGUUGGCCACAAGAGAAAUUUAGUGAAGAGGAAAGCAGAUAUAGAGCACCACCCAUUUCCCAGUGAAGGUCAUUAAAUACAGUCAUGGUGUGUGGGACACCAGGCACUGCUGUGUCCCUUGCAUAUUUUUGGCAAAUCAGCUGCCUUCCAAUGGUU